rnacentral:rRNA from 1 species
AACGAACGCUGGCGGCAUGCCUAACACAUGCAAGUCGAACGAGACCUUCGGGUCUAGUGGCGCACGGGUGCGUAACGCGUGGGAACCUGCCCUUAGGUUCGGAAUAACUCCCCGAAAGGGGUGCUAAUACCGGAUAAUGUCUUCGGACCAAAGAUUUAUCGCAUUUGGAUGGGCCCGCGUUGGAUUAGCUAGUUGGUAGGGUAAAAGCCUACCAAGGCGACGAUCCAUAGCUGGUCUGAGAGGAUGAUCAGCCACACUGGGACUGAGACACGGCCCAGACUCCUACGGGAGGCAGCAGUGGGGAAUAUUGGACAAUGGGCGAAAGCCUGAUCCAGCAAUGCCGCGUGAGUGAUGAAGGCCUUAGGGUUGUAAAGCUCUUUUACCCGGGAUGAUAAUGACAGUACCGGGAGAAUAAGCUCCGGCUAACUCCGUG